AUACAACAGGGAUUGGAAACGGCCCGGUAUCACGUGAUCUUUUCGUUAACAUUUCAAUGAGACAACAAAAAUUGUCAAAAAACCUAGGCGUGUUACGGGUUAAAAAUAGAUAUCCAGGGAUAUUCUUCAGAAAAGUCUCGAGAAAGUCAUCUGUCUAAUGACUUUUUAAGAUUUGAGUAGUCCCCAUUCUAGGAAAACUUUGGCUGCACAAAGCUCUCUUUCGAAGGUAUUCUAUAAACUGGUACUCUUUGCAAUAUAUCCAUUCUCGUAUGAUUUGAGAUCUUUUCUCCCUCUAGCUUCUACAUUGAUGACACAACAGCUGUUAUGAUGAGAUGUAACUUGCUAAUAUUUACAUGUACAUGUAUGUUUAGGUACUGAUGAUGGGACACAAUUAAGACAAAGACCUUCUCAUGCUGCUACUGCUCCUAGUAAUGAAGCAAAUGGAACAGACAGAGCUGAUACACCUCCUCCACCUUCUAAUCCUUCAUCUUCUGAUCAUGCUACUGCUGCUAAUAUGAGCUUUGGUAACAUUGACAUCUAGUUGGACCUACGGUGGAAUUUCUCCCUCUGGCAACUUCACUAUGACUAAUAACAAAAAUCUGUGGCAUUAGUAUUGUUCCCUAGGAAUCUCUCCAAUACAAUGAAGUGACUAUUUUUGUCCUGUGGAUAUUUGGAAGGCUGUUUCUGCAAGUGAAGAAUACUGCCGUUUAUUGAUUAUUUUUGAUAAACUUGCUAUGCAUGCAACUUUUAUUUGAUUCCAACUAUUAGUUUUUACAUUGUAGAA